UAUGUGAUCGUCUCUCGCAUAUCAAUAAGCGGAGGAAAAGAAACUAACAAGGAUUCCCCUAGUAACGGCGAGUGAAGCGGGAAGAGCUCAAAUUUGAAAUCUUAAAGGGUUUCCCUUUACGAAUUGUAGUUUAAAGAAGUGUUUUCUGUUGAGGUUUUGGUAAAAGUUCUUUGGAAUAGGACAUCAUAGAGGGUGAGAAUCCCGUAUUUGACCUUUACUUUCAACUUUGUGAUACACUUUCAAAGAGUCGGAUUGUUUGGGAAUGCAGUCCAAAAUGGGUGGUAAAUUUCAUCUAAAGCUAAAUAUUGGCGAGAGACCGAUAGCGAACAAGUACCGUGAGGGAAAGAUGAAAAGAACUUUGAAAAGAGAGUUAAACAGUACGUGAAAUUGUCAAAAGGGAAGCGUUUGACACCAGUGUUGUUUUUCUGAAAAUCAAUUAAAGAACUGUUUAUGCUAAGCUGUUUAGACUUUAUCAGCUACUGUUUAGUUUUGAGCUUUUCUUUAAUGCACUUUUCAGUUAACAAGUCAACAUCAAUUUCUUUUGCUGUAAAAAAGCUUGAGGAAGGUGGCUUGAGAUUCGUCUUAAGUGUUUAUAGCCCCUUGCCUAUGCAGUCGGAGAGAUUGAGGUCUGCAGCGUAGAUCCUUCGGGGCUAAAUGCAUUUGUGCUAAGUUAUAGCAUUUUAUAGACAACUUGUUGACUAUGAUUUGUCUUGUAGCUUACUCGCUUAUGUUAUUUUACCUACGCUUAGGAUGUUGAUAUCGCGCUCUCACUG
rnacentral:rRNA from 1 species